rnacentral:misc_RNA from 1 species
GUAGGUGAACCUGCGGAAGGAUCAUUACAGAGUAUCAUGCCCUCACGGGUAGAUCUCCACCCUUGAAUAACAUACCUUCGUUGCUUUGGCAGGCCGCACUCGUGCCAGAGGCUUCGGCUUCUGAGUGCCUGCCAGAGGACCACAACUCUGUUUUUAGUGAUGUCUGAGUACUAUAUAAUAGUUAAAACUUUCAACAACGGAUCUCUUGGUUCUG